UGAAUUCUGUCUCUGCUUCUGGGACACAGUUUCUGUAUGCUGUCAGCAACCAAACUGGUCCUGAAGGAGUGGCUCUUUAGGAAGCAGGAUUGCAGCCUUGCAGCUGGAUCUGCCAGCUCAGCCUUUUCAGCUCUCCCUGCCUGGGGCACAUCUUUUAUCAUGCAGAGUGGCCACACUCUCUCUCUGGGAGCUCCAUUUGGGUCCAGAGCAGGUAGAGGGACCACAAUGUCUGGUGGAGAGCAGGAACCAGGCCACUACUAUGUGGGUAUUGACGUUGGAACAGGCAGUGUCCGAGCAGCUCUAGUGGACCACGGAGGAAUCCUUUUGGCUUUUGCAGAACAGCCAAUUAAGAAGUGGGAGCCCCAGUUCAACCACCAUGAGCAGUCCUCUGAGGACAUCUGGACCGCAUGCUGUGUGGUCACGAAGAAAGUUGUACAAGGGAUUGAUUUAAAUCAAAUUCGAGGACUUGGGUUUGAUGCCACGUGUUCUCUGGUUGUCUUGGAUAAGCAAUUCCGUCCUUUACCAGUAAACUUUGAAGGGGAUUCCCAUCGCAACAUUAUCAUGUGGCUGGACCAUCGAGCCAUCAGCCAGGUCCAGAGGAUCAAUGAGACCCAGCACGAUGUCCUUCAGUACGUGGGUGGCGUGAUGUCAGUGGAGAUGCAGGCACCAAAGCUCUUGUGGCUGAAGGAGAACUUGAGAGAGACUUGCUGGGAUAAAGCGGGACAUUUCUUUGAUCUCCCAGACUUCUUAUCAUGGAAAGCAACAGGUGUCACAGCACGGUCUCUCUGUUCCCUGGUGUGUAAAUGGACAUACUCUGCAGAGAAAGGCUGGGAUGACAGCUUCUGGAAGAUGGUUGGUUUGGAAGACCUCAUUGGAGAUAAUUACAGCAAAAUAGGAAACCUAGUGUUGCCUCCCGGAGCUUCUCUCGGAAGUGGGCUCACGCCAGAGGCAGCCAAAGAGCUGGGCCUUCCCAAGGGGAUCGCAGUGGCAGCCUCCCUCAUUGACGCCCACGCCGGAGGACUAGGAGUGAUUGGAGCAGAUGUGAGUGGUCAUGGCCUGAUCUGUGAAGGGCAGCCAGUGUCGUCACGGCUGGCUGUCAUCUGUGGAACGUCAUCUUGUCACAUGGGGAUCAGCAAAGAUCCAAUUUUUGUACCAGGCAUCUGGGGACCAUAUUUCUCAGCCAUGGUUCCUGGCUUCUGGCUGAAUGAAGGUGGUCAAAGUGUUACUGGAAAAUUGAUAGACCACAUAGUACAGAGCCAUGCUGCCUUUCCUGAGCUACAAGCCAAGGCCACAGCAAGAUGCCAGACUAUAUAUGAGUAUUUGAACAGCCACCUGGAUCUGAUUAAGAAGGCUCAGCCUGUGGGUUUCCUCACUGUUGAUUUACAUGUUUGGCCAGAUUUCCAUGGCAACCGGUCUCCCUUAGCAGAUCUGACUCUGAAGGGCAUGGUCACUGGAUUGACACUGUCUCAGGACCUUGAUGAUCUUGCCAUACUCUACCUGGCCACUGUGCAAGCCAUUGCUUUUGGGACUCGCUUCAUCAUAGAGGCUAUGGAGGCAGCAGGACACUCCCUCAGCGCCCUCUUCUUAUGUGGAGGCCUGAGCAAGAAUCACCUUUUUGUACAGAUGCAUUCGGACAUUACUGGCAUGCCUGUGAUCCUGUCACAAGAGGUGGAGUCUGUCCUGGUGGGUGCUGCUAUUCUGGGAGCCUGUGCCUCCGGGGAUUUUACUUCUGUCCAGUGUGUAAGAAGAAUUGCCAUUGAUAUGACUGACUGUUGAGAUGAAGAGUCUUUAGAAGCACUAUCAUCAACAUCUUUGGAGUAAUGUAUUUCUGGAGCUUUUUUGAAAUGUAAAUGCAUGUACUCGGCUUUAUUCACAUUCUUCAAAGAAGCCAAAUGGUGUGCCCCAGUCCUGGGGACCAGCUCAAGAUUCUGGCAAGAGACCAAAGUGAAGUCAAGAGACCAGUGAGGAGUGAGGGGCCGAGUUGGAUAAGACCAUUUAACAACAUUCUGAGAUGUUACUAUUCCCAUUUUGUACAUGGGA